rnacentral:rRNA from 1 species
CCUACGGGAGGCAGCAGUGAGGAAUAUUGGUCAAUGGGCGCGAGCCUGAACCAGCCAAGUAGCGUGAAGGAUGGCUGCCCUACGGGUUGUAAACUUCUUUUAUAAAGGAAUAAAGUGAGGCACGUGUGACUUUUUGUAUGUACUUUAUGAAUAAGGAUCGGCUAAAUCCGUGACAGCAGCCGCGGUACUACGGAUGAUCCGAGUGUUAUCCGGAUUUAUUGGGUUUAAAGGGAGCGUAGAUGGGUUGUUAAGUCAGUUGUGAAAGUUUGCGGCUCAACCGGAAAAUUGCAAUUGAUACUGGCAGCCGUGAGUACAGUUGAGGUAAGCGGAAUUCGUGGUGUAGCGGUGAAAUGCUUAGAUAUCACGAAGAACUCCGAUUGCGAAGGCAGCCUACUAAACUGCCACUGACAUUGAUGCUCGAAAGUGUGGGUAUCAAACAGGAUUAGAUACCCCUGUAGUC